CCGCGGUCACCGCCGGGACCUACAAGGGAAGUCUAAAUCGGAGGUGGGGUUGCUCCGACAAGACCCUCCGACGCUCAAGUCAGUUUUCUGCCUCAACAAGAAUGGAGUGCUCGAACGGAGAAUUUAGCAGAGUUUUGAGAUAAGAAAAAUGAGCUUAAAGAAUAACGUAUCUGGAUCCCCCUUUUAUAGACGGAGGAGGCAACGGAUUGAUGGCGACGUUUGUAACCGCCUGGUAGUGGGCCGCCCAGGGUCAGGGGAAUUGAUUG
rnacentral:lncRNA from 1 species